rnacentral:rRNA from 1 species
UAGUAACGGCGAGUGAAGAGGGAAAAGCUCAAAUUUUGAAUCUGGUGUCUUUGACUCCCGAGUUGUAAUCUAGAGAAGUGUUUUCCGUGUCGGACCACGUAUAAGCUCCCUGGAACGGGGCGUCAUAGAGGGUGAGAAUCCCGUAUAUGCCGUGGACUACCGAUGCUCUGUGAUACAUUCUCAACGAGUCGAGUUGUUUGGGAAUGCAGCUCAAAAUGGGUGGUAAAUUCCAUCUAAAGCUAAAUAUUGGCGAGAGACCGAUAGCGAACAAGUACCGUGAGGGAAAGAUGAAAAGCACUUUGGAAAGAGAGUGAAACAGUACGUGAAAUUGUUGAAAGGGAAGCGUUUGAAGUCAGUCACGUUUGUUGGGAUUCAGCCUGGCUUCUGCCUGGUGUAUUUCCUAGCCGAUGGGUCAGCAUCAGUUUCGACCAAGGGAAAAAGACAUUUGGAAUGUGGCUGUCUUCGGGCAGUGUUAUAGCCUUGUGUUGUAUGCCUUGGUUGGGACUGAGGAAUGCAGCGCGCCUUAUGGCCGGGGGUCACUCCUCUCGACACGCGCUUAGGA